AUUGAACGCUGGCGGCAGGCUUAACACAUGCAAGUCGAACGAGUGGCGGACGGGUGAGUAAUGCUUGGGAAUCUAGCUUAUGGAGGGGGAUAACUCCGGGAAACUGUGGCUAAUACGGCUUACCUUGGGAUAACCCCAGGUGGGAUUAGGUAGGUGGUGGGGUAAAGGCUCACCAAGCCGACGAUCUCUAGCUGGUCUGAGAGGAUGACCAGCCACACUGGGACUGAGACACGGCCCAGACUCCUACGGGAGGCAGCAGUGGGGAAUAGUGCGCAAUGGGGGCAACCUGACGCAGCCAUGCCGCGUGAAUGAAGAAGGCCUUCGGGUUGUAAAGUUCUUUCGGUAGCGAGGCGUUAACUACAGAAGAAGCACCGGCUAACUCCGUGCCAGCAGCCGCGGUAAUAC
rnacentral:rRNA from 1 species